ensembl:lncRNA
UUUUUCUCUCUCGCUCUCUUCCCUCUUCUACAUUAAAUAUUAAAUGCACUCAUGUUUUUUUAGUUUUUCACUGUGGUUACUUAUGAUAUGGUUCUUUUUUCCCACCUGCUUUGGCAAUGUAAACAACUGUUUCCCAGCCAACAGCCCUUUAAGUUGAAAAUGUUGAACUGAGAGAAGAAAGAGGAAGGGGCGCAUUAUCCUGCUGAAAGAGGCCAAUGCCAUCAGGGAAUAACGUUGCCAUGAAAGGGUGCACAUGGUCUUCAACAAUGCUCAGGGCGCAUUAUCCUGCUGAAAGAGGCCAAUGCCAUCAGGGAAUAACGUUGCCAUGAAAGGGUGCCCAUGGUCUUCAACAAUGCUCAGAUGUGAAUGAGUUGUACCAGUUUCAGAUCUUCUGUUCUGGUUGACCAUUUUCCUACACCUCUCAGAUUUACUUCCCCAAAGACACAACAAGAUAUGUCAACAUAAUGAGUGUGUCAGACAACCAAGAAGGAGAAAGAUAAGAUAAGAAAGUCACCAGUCAAGACCAGCAAGUCUCAACAACAACCAACCACCUCUGGUUCCUCCAAAACCCCUCACAACAAACAGAGAAAGGCAGACAAACAGAGGCCAUACCACUGCUCACAGUGUGUGAAGCGUUUUAGUACACAGUUCUUCACCAACAUGAUACCCACAACACGUACACCCACAUAGAAGUAAAAGCCUAAUUACUGCUCCCAGUGUGGUGAGAGUUUCAGUUAUUCGUGUAAUCCCAGAACACACCAGCGCACUCACACAGGAGUGAAGCCUUAUUACUGCCCCAAGUGUGGAAAGAGUUUCUGUCAUCAAGAUUAUCUCAGAACACACCAACUCACUCAGGAGAAAAGCCUCACCACUGCUCCCAGUGCAGGAGGAAUUUCAGUUAUCAGUGUAAUCUCAGAAGACACCAGCGCAUUCACACAGGAGAGAGUUGAAUCAGCUGUGCUUCGCUAGUGCUACAGUGAAAAUGUGUACUGUUGGGGUUACUCAAGGACAGGAGUUGUGAAACACUGUUUCAGACAGUAAGGAAAUUAAUCUUUCAUUCUCAAAUAAAUGUUAUACAAAUUCAUUCAACAUGAGUGAUUUGCUGUAUAUAGUGUGAACAUUUGAGUGAAAAUCCAACAUUUUUAAAUGGGUGAAAUAGGUGACAAUAAAAUUUGGCAAAUGAUGACAGUGAUGAUCUCCCA